UACAGAGGGGCAAGCGUUGUUCGGAAUUACUGGGCGUAAAGCGUGCGCAGGCGGUUAUGCAAGACAGAGGUGAAAUCCCCGGGCUCAACCUGGGAACUGCCUUUGUGACUGCAUAGCUAGAGUACGGUAGAGGGGAUGGAAUUCCGCGUGUAGCAGUGAAAUGCGUAGAGAUCCGGAGGAACACCAGAGGCGAAGGCGGCCUACUGGGCUGCACCUGACGCUGAGCCGCGAAAGCCAGGGGAGCGAACGGG
rnacentral:rRNA from 1 species